GCUCAGGACGAACGCUGGCGGCGUGCCUAAUACAUGCAAGUCGAGCGAAUCUGAUGGGAGCUUGCUCCUUGAAGAUUAGCGGCGGACGGGUGAGUAACACGUGGGUAACCUGCCUGUAAGACUGGGAUAACUCCGGGAAACCGGGGCUAAUACCUGAUAACAUUUUUCUUCGCAUGAAGAAGAAUUGAAAGAUGGCUUCGGCUAUCACUUACAGAUGGACCCGCGGCGCAUUAGCUAGUUGGUGAGGUAAUGGCUCACCAAGGCGACGAUGCGUAGCCGACUUGAGAGGGUGAUCGGCCACACUGGGACUGAGACACGGCCCAGACUCCUACGGGAGGCAGCAGUAGGGAAUCUUCCGCAAUGGACGAAAGUCUGACGGAGCAACGCCGCGUGAGUGAUGAAGGUUUUCGGAUCGUAAAACUCUGUUGUUAGGGAAGAACAAGUAUCGUUCGAAUAGGGCGGUACCUUGACGGUACCUAACCAGAAAGCCACGGCUAACUACGUGCCAGCAGCCGCGGUAAUACGUAGGUGGCAAGCGUUGUCCGGAAUUAUUGGGCGUAAAGCGCGCGCAGGCGGUUUCUUAAGUCUGAUGUGAAAGCCCACGGCUCAACCGUGGAGGGUCAUUGGAAACUGGGAGACUUGAGUGCAGAAGAGAAGAGCGGAAUUCCACGUGUAGCGGUGAAAUGCGUAGAGAUGUGGAGGAACACCAGUGGCGAAGGCGGCUCUUUGGUCUGUAACUGACG
rnacentral:rRNA from 1 species